GGCGCUCUCUCUCUCUCCCCACCCCCUCACUCACUCCAUUAACGCGCGGCUCUUGAUCUUCUCUCUCUUCUCUCUCUCCCUCCGUCCCUCACUCCAUUUCAGGGUUCCAUUUCCUCCUUCGUUAAAUUUCGUUCAUUCAGCAUUCUUUUUUAUUUCGUUAAAUUUCGUUCGUGAAUUACAAUUGUUCGUUCUCCAUUUCAGUUCAUUUCGUUCAUUCGCACUCCAUUUCAGUUGUUCGUUCGUGAAUUACAAUUACGGAUUUCGUUCUUCGCACUUCAAGAUGAAGAUCUGUUUGAAGACCGUCUUUUUUUCGACAUUUCUUCGCUUUUCCAGUUCGAAUUUCCAGAAAUUUCACAAAGAACAACUGAGGAAGAGCCAUAAAUUCCAGAAAUUUUGUUGUUGUAUUAUGAGCACCAAGAAGCCAGAAUGAGCGGUUCAAUUUUUAGAGUAUUUUUUAGGAUUUUUAGAGUAUUUUUUGAUUGGAUUAACAGAUUGUUGCUAUAAUUUUUCAUUGUAUUUCAUAUUCUUUCAGAUC